rnacentral:lncRNA from 1 species
CACCGUUCCACGACAGCAGGUCGCCAUGAAGCGGUUCGCCAUCCUCUUCAGCGCCAUGAACAUCGUCAGCUGGGGCUUCCCCCACGGGAUCGGCUAUGGAAAUGUUGGAAUUUACCCCAACGGGGGCGUGGCUCCCCUCGGAUAUCCCUUGGGCGGAGGACUUCCCCUUCAUGCUCCCUGGCAGGGCGGACUUCCUGUUAAUUCCCCCUGGCAGGGCGGAGUUCCCGCUCAUGCUCCCUGGCAGAGCGGACUCAUCUAUGCACCCCCAAGCCCCGGCGUAGCCAGGGGAUCUGCCCAGGGCAAUGUGGUUACGGGUCAAACUCUGGGCCCGGCCGGCUUGUCUUCAAUCACCAACGUUAAAGCCACAGCACAGGGUUUCGCCGCGAACGGCGGCCGCAGCGAAAACUCAGCGUAUGCCAACAAUGCGCAGCUCGGCGGCCUCCUGGGCCAGAGCUCGACCUCCGACGCUGGAGCUGUCUCCAACCAGUCCGGCGGGGGAGGCUACUUUUGGUAGCAAACAGAUGGCGGUCGCGACCAGCGCCGGACUGGAGCACGGUGCUCUUGACGAUUGGAAAACCGAGAAUAGUUUUAGACUGGUGGAAGAUAGCGUUACCUAAGAGGGAUCCUGAACACCAAGCCUUUCGUGGAAGCCACAUAUAUCCAAGCAAGUCCGAAACUUCACAAAUGUGUUGUCAUAUCGAACUUCUGAGGAACAACCGCUGGAUAGCGAGUGACAUUGUUUGAAGGUCGCUGACCUAGCCGGAUGACUUCUCGUCAUACACUGAGUCCGCGGUAUGUCAGGGCGUGUCUCGAGAUACGAGUGUAACAAUGAUCACCACAGUCAAAUUUCCCCCUCUUGUUUAUGCAUGAUAAUGUCCUAUGCUGUUUGUAUAUUAAGAAUAAAAAGCUCGCAUUGUCCUGUAUGGUAUCGCUACCACUUAACUUCAAAGGGUAUGUUCUACAUUUGAAGAUAGCAAAACAAUUAUCAGAUAGGAUCAAAUAAUGGUUUACUUUUAAGUGAAAAAACUGCUUUA